AGCGAACGCUGGCGGCAGGCCUAACACAUGCAAGUCGAACGGAUCCUUCGGGAUUAGUGGCGGACGGGUGAGUAACACGUGGGAACGUACCCAUUGGUUCGGAACAACUCCGGGAAACUUGAGCUAAUACCGGAUGUGCCCUUCGGGGGAAAGAUUUAUCGCCAUUGGAGCGGCCCGCGUCUGAUUAGCUAGUUGGUGGGGUAAAGGCUCACCAAGGCGACGAUCAGUAGCUGGUCUGAGAAGAUGAUCAGCCACAUUGGGACUGAGACACGGCCCAAACUCCUACGGGAGGCAGCAGUGGGGAAUCUUGCGCAAUGGGCGAAAGCCUGACGCAGCCAUGCCGCGUGAAUGAUGAAGGUCUUAGGAUUGUAAAAUCCUUUCACCGGGGACGAUAAUGACGGUACCCGGAGAAGAAGCCCCGGCUAACUUCGUGCCAGCAGCCGCAGUAACAC
rnacentral:rRNA from 1 species